GUCCCUUUGGCGCAGAGGAUAGCGCGCUGGACUUCUAAUCCAGAGGUCAAGGGUUCGAUCCCCUUAAGGGAUG